CUCUGAAUAUUCCCCCAAAAUGUGCAACCCUAGUGAUAACAACAAUUUAAUACACUUUAGAAUAAGGCUGUAAGGUAAGAAAAUGUGGAAAAAGUCAAGGAGUCUGAAUACUUUCCGAAUGCACUAUAUUUGAUACCAUUCUACUUAUUCCGCACCUGUCCUCCCCAAUUAAGGUGCCACCAACCUUCUAUGAUGUAUUGUGUCUAUGUAGUGUGUCAGUUUGUGUGUGUGUGUGUGUUUAUUUUUGAGUGUCAGUGUAAGAUGUGUCUGUGUGUGUGUGUGUGUGUUUAUUUUUGAGUGUCCAUGUAAGAUGUGUCUGUGUGUGUGUGUGUGUGUUUAUGUUUAAGUGUCAGUGUAAGAUGUCUGUGUGUGUGUGUGUGUGUUUUAUUUUUGAUGUCAGUGUAAGAUGUGUGUCUCUGUGUGUGUGUGUGUUUAUGUUUGAGUGUCAGUGUAAGAUGUGUCUGUGUGUGUGUUUAUGUUUGAGUGUCAGUGUAAGAUGUGUCUGUGUGUGCAUAGAGCCAGUGCAACAACGUCAGUUCCAAAAAAAAAGGUGGUCAAUGCAAAUAGUCCUGGUAGCGAUUUGAUUAACUGUUCAUCAGUCUUAUGGCUUUGGGGUAGAAGCUGUUAAGGAGCCUUUUUGUCCCAGACUUGGCACUCCGGUACCACUUGCCGUGCGGUAGCAGAGAGAAUAGUCUAUGACUUGGACGGCUGGAGUCUUUUACAAUUUUUAGGGCCUGCAUGGCAGGGAGCUCGGCCUCAGUGAUGUAUCGGGCCACACAUUCUACCCUCUGUAGUGCCUUGAGGUCAGAAUACAUGCAGUUGCCAUACUAAGCAGUGAUGCAGCCAAGAUGCUCUCAAUGGUGCAGCUGUAGAACGUUUUGAGGAUGCCAAAACCUUUCAGCCUCCAGAGGGGGAAGAGGCUUUGUCGUGCCCUCUUCACGACUGUGUUGGUGUGUUUGGACCAUGAUAGGCCCUUAGUGAUGUGGACACAGAGGAACUAUAAAAACGUUUUAUACACACGUCAUAUGUGUCCAUUACAAUCUAUUCAAUAAUCGGAAUGUAGGAUUUGUCAAUAGUACUUGAAAAAUUGAAUAAAACAGUAAAUAAAGUAUUACCACACAAAGCAUUUUCUAAUGGUGAUUUCAAGUUUUAUUGUCACGUGCACAAGUACAGUGAAAUGACUUUCUUGCAAGCUCUUUUCCCAACAAUGCAGUAAUCAAUAUCAAUAUAUUGUGUUGUACUAUAAAAUAAAGUAUAAGAAAUAAGAACAACACUAAAAAGUCCUGGGAUACUGGAGCGGUAGAGGUAGAACAUCUCAUUCCAAAGGCAUUAAUGGACUUGGUCCCCCCUUUGCUGCUAUAACAGCCUCCACUCUUCGGGGAAGGCUUUCCACAAGAUUUUGGAACAUGACUAUGAGGCCUAGCUCACAGUCAGUGUUCCAUUUCAUCCCAAAGGUCAGGGCUCUGUGCAGUUGACUGGCCUGCACAAACCAUUUCUGUAUGGACCUCGCUUUGUGCACGGUAAUUGUAUCUAGUAGUGUUAAUAUUUCCCUUCACUGGAACAAAGGAUCCUAGCCCAAAACCAUGAAAAAUAAUCCCAGACCAUUAUUCCUCCUCCGCCAAACUUUACAGUUGACACUAUGCAUUGGUGCAGGUAGCGUUCUCCUGACAUCCGCCAAACCCAGAUUCGUCCGUCAGACUGCUAGAUGGUGAAGCGUGAUUCAUCACUCCAGAGAAUGCAUGUCCACUGCUCCAGAGUCCAAUGGCGGUGAUCUUUACACCACUCCGUACAACGCUUGGCAUUGCGCAUGGUUAUCUUAGGCUAGUGUGCGGCCGCUCGGCCAUGGAAACCGAUUUCAUGAAGCUCCUGACGAAUAGUUUUUGUGCUGAUGUUGCUUCCAGUGACAGUUUGGAACUUGGUAGUGAGUGUUGCAACCGAGGAAGCUAUGCGUUUCAGCACUGGGUUGUCCUGUUCUUUGAGCUUGUGUGGUCUGCCACUUUGCGGCUGAGCUGUUGUUGCCCCUAGACGUUCACAAUAACAGCACUUACAGUUGACCCGGGCAGCUCUAGCAGGGCAGAAAUUUGAUGAACUGACUUGUUGGUAAUGUGGCAUCCUAUGACAGUGUCACAUUGAAAGUCCCUGAGCUCUUCAGUAAGGCCAUUCUACUGCCAAUAUUUGUCUAUGGAGUUUGCAUGGCUGUGUGCUCAAUUCUAUCACCUGUCAGCAACGGGUGUGGCUGAAAUAGCCGAAUCCACUCAUUUGAAAGGGUGUCCACACGCUUUUGUAUAUAUAGUGUAUGUAUAGGGGUAAUGUGACUAGGCAUUAGGAUAUAUGAUAAACAGAGUAGCAGCAGUGUAUAGAGUAGCUGCAGCUUGCAGAUAGCUCUGACAGUCGACAGCCUCCCAGUCCAGGCUGUGGUAGACACUGGAGCUGAAAUGACAAUCAUCUCUGAGAGCCUUUACGAGCAGCUCCCUGUGAGUGAGAAAACUUCUCUCAAGAAGACAUGAGUUCAGAAUGCUGAGUUGGGGAAAGACAUGACUGCAGUGGAUGGAUCAAAAGUUACAUUCCAUAUCGGCACCAGGAGCUAUGAAUAGGAGGUGACUCUGUCCUCCUCAGCCUGGACCUGUUGAGAGCUGGAAAUGUAACUAUCUAUGCCAGCGGAAGAGUCUUUAUCAAGGAGGAACCUUUGACUGCCAAAAUCGCUGGAGGCGACGGAUCAGACUACUUCGUAGCUCGGGUGCUCCUGGAGAAAGACGCAACCUCGCCAUCAGAGUGUGAAAUGUCUAGUCUGGGGUGAAGUUGACCAUCCGAAGCCUGGUGUUACUGCCUCUAACAGAAAGUGUCACCACAACCAAAAUGUGCCUUGGCGUCCUGGUCAAAACAUUCCUGAUGAUCCCUCCAACCCAUCUAGUCCAGUUGAGCAGGAUGAAGCAUGCACUCCUGGGGAACAGUCUUAAAGCACACUGCGGCCAGAGAUGAAAAAAGUGACUGCUGCAUCAGACCUACCUGAACAUCUCCAGGCCAUGUUUGUUGCUUCAAGCGAGGCAUUCAGUAGGGAAAAACAACAACAGUCAAUGUCCCUUUUUGCAAUGAACAACAUUGACUUAGGCUACAUGUCUGCUGUCACCCACACUGGAGCGGCUAGGCCAGUACAUCAACCGAUACGACGGAUAUUUCUCGGAGUCCAAGGAAAAGAGGAAAUGCACUUCAAGGCAAUGGUGGAAGCAGGUGUCGUCACACCAUCCUCCUCAGAGUGGGCAUCCCCCGUUGUCAUAGUUUGUAAAGAUUGUGGAAUCCGCUGGUAUGUCGAUUACCGCCGCCUCAAUAGCCUGACAGCCAAGGAUGCAUAGCCUUUCCCGAAGAGGGAAGUGUGUCUAGACGUCCUUGGGGGAUCCAAUGUCGUCUCCACGUUAGAUCUUCAUUCUGGCUACAGGCUGAUAGCAGUGGAUGAAAAGGACCAGGAGAAGAUGGUGUUUAUCACUAAAUAUGGGCUCUAUGAUUGUAUCUGCAUGCCAUUCGGCCUUUGUAACGCCCCACAUUUCAGAGGGCCAAUGGAGCUCGUCCUCCAUGGACUCCAAUGGGAAACACUAUUAAUCUAUCUGGAGGACAUCAUCAUCCUGGGGAGAGGAGUUGAUGAGAGCCUAGAACUGCUUGCAGAUGUCUUCCAACUCCUUCACAGCUACGGUCUGAAGCUGAAGCCAUCAAAGUGUCACCUGCUCAAGUAAGAAUUCCUGUUCUUAAGGCAUGUCAUGAGUGGUGAAGGCAUAAGUCCCAACCCUGCUCUGAUCAAGGAUGUGCAAACCUGGCAACCUCGUAGUAAUGUGCAAGAAGUGCAAGCCUUCAUAGGAUUAUGCAAUUACUACCGCAAGUUCGUCCCAGCAUUUGCGGUACUGGCCAGCCCACUCAAUAUUUUCCUCAAGAAGGAAGCUAAAUUAUUGUGGAGAGCAGAGCACCAGAAUGCCUUCAGUCAGGUGAAACUGACAACAGCCCCAGUGCUAGAGUAUCCAGCUGCAGAAGGGAAGUACACCCUUGACAUGCAUGCCACCAACCACAUCAUUAGAGCAGUGCUGUCACAUCUACAGUGGGCAGAAGAGAGAGUUAUCACCUAUGCAAGCACCCACCUCACGCCAGCUCAGCAGAAGUACUGGGUCACCAGGAAUGAGUUACGGGCCAUUGUCAGCUACACCCGCCAAUUCUACCAUUACCUACUUGGCUGGAAGUUCCUACUGUGCAGCGAUGUCGAAGGAGCUGCAGUAGAGCGGGUCAAGAGCUUCAAGUUCCUCGGUGUCCAAAGGACUUAAAAUGAUCCACACAUACAAGCCCAGUCGUGAAGAAGGCAUGACAGUGCCUCUUCCCCUCAGGAGGGAGAAAAGGUUUGUCAUGUCCCCUCAAAUCCUCAAGAAGUUCUACAGCUGCACCAAUGAGAGCAUCUUGACUGGUUGCAUCAAUGCUUGGUAUGGCAACAGCACCCCCCUUGAGCGCAUGGCACAAAAGAGGUUUGUGUGGACAGCCCAGUACAUCACUGGGGCCGAGAUCCCUGACAUCCAGGACCUCUAUAUCAGGCGGUGUGAAAGUAAGGCCCGGAAAAUCACGCCACAGACUGUUCUUUCUGAUUCUGCAACAUAUCCAGCAGAUCCACGGACGAUGCCAUUUCCAUCACUAUUAACACAGCCAUAACACAUCUGGACAAGAGGAUCACCUAUGUGAGAAUGCUGUUCAUUCACUACAGUUUAACAUUCAACACUAUUGUUUCCUCCAAGCUCUGCGGUCAGAGCCCUUGGUCUGGACAUCGCCCUUUGUAACUGGAUCCUGGACUGGGCAGACCACAGGCUACGACGAUUGGCAACAACAACACGUCCUCCACACUGACUCUUAAUACAAGGGACCCCCAGGUGUGUGGCCAAUUGAGAUAGUUUGGGAUGAGUUGGACCACAGAGUGAAGAAAAUUCAGAGACUUGUCUGGAACCCACUACUGCGUUGUCUUGGCUGUGUGCUUAGGGUCAUUGUCCUGUUGGAAGGUGAACCUUCACCCCAGUCUGCGGUCCUGAGUGCUCUGGAGUAGGUUUUCAUCAAGGAUCGCUCCGUUCAUCUUUCCCUCGAUCCUGACUAGUCUCCCAGUCCCUGUCGCUGAAAAACAUCCCUACAGCAUGAUGCUGCCACCACGCUUCACCAUAGGGAUAGUGCCAGGUGUCCUCCAGAUGUGACUUUGUCAUUCAGAGUUUACCUCUGUUUCAUCAGACCAGAGAAUCUUGAGGUGCCUUUUGGCAAACUCCAAGCAGGCUGUCAUGUGCCUUUUUCUGAAGAAUGGCUUCCGUCUGGCCCCUCUACCAUAAUGGCCUGAUUGGUGGAGUGCUGCAGAGACUUUUGUCCUUUUGGAAGGUUCUGCCAUCUCCACAGAGGGACUCUGGAGCCCUGUCAGAGUGACCAUCGGGUUCUUGCUCACCUCCCUGACCAAGGCCCUUCUCCCCCAAUUGCUCAGUUUGGCCGGGCGUCCAGUUCUAGGAAGAGUCUUGGUGGUUUCAAACAUCUUUCCUUCAAGAAUGACAGAGGCUACUUUUUCAUUUUGAGCACCUACCCCCCUGAAAGCCCUAUGCACGGCCCUGCAUAUCAAAUCAAAUCAAAUCAAAUGUAUUUAUAUAGCCCUUCGUACAUCAGCUGAUAUCUCAAAGUGCUGUACAGAAACGCAGCCUAAAACCCCAAACAGCAAGCAAUGCAGGUGUAGAAGCACGGUGGCUAGGAAAAACUCCCUAGAAAGGCCAAAACCUAGGAAGAAACCUAGAGAGGAACCAGGCUAUGUGGGGUGGCCAGUCCUCUUCUGGCUGUGCCAGGUGGAGAUUUUAACAGAACAUGGCCAAGAUGUUCAAAUGUUCAUAAAUGACCAGCAUGGUCGAAUAAUAAUAAGGCAGAACAGUUGAAACUGGAGCAGCAGCACGGCCAGGUGGACUGGGGACAGCAAGGAGUCAUCAUGUCAGGUAGUCCUGGGGCAUGGUCCUAGGGCUCAGGUCCUCCGAGAGAGAGAAAGAAAGAGAGAAGGAGAGAAUUAGAGAACGCACACUUAGAUUCACACAGGACACCGAAUAGGACAGGAGAAGUACUCCAGAUAUUACAAACUGACCCAACCCCCCCACACAUAAACUACUGCAGCAUAAAUACUGGAGGCUGAGACAGGAGGUGUGUCUGUCUGUCUAUUUCUGUGUGUAUGUUUGCCUACUUUAGUCUGUGUGUGUGUCUCCCUCUUUCUCCCUCUGGGCUGUGUUGUGCUCCAACAGCGUUAUUGUCAUAGGACAAUGGGGGUGCCAUGAUCCUUCAAUGACAUCUGUCAAUAGAGAGGGUAGACAAAAGGGUAGAGAGGGGAUGUGUGUCUAGGUGUGUGGCGUAAGCAAGUGGUAGAGCAGUUAAGUGUGUGUGAGGAAGUGGGUGUUUGGGGUGUCAGGUGUUCAGAGUCUUCAUGUCAUUCUGUUGUAGUCCUCCACUGCUUCCUGUCACUCAGUUGUAGUUUUCCAUGGUGUGUGUGUGUGUGCGUGUCUUAUGUGUGUUAAUUGCCUGUUAACAUCUAAUAGGCACGCGAUGAGCAAGAGUGUUGUGGAUGGGGUUGAGAACAGGUGAAAACGUGAGCUGUGGCUCCGGACAUCACAGGUUCAAUUGAUUUUAGUUGUUCUGUUUUAACACCCAAACCCUAACCUUAACCACUCAUUAUUCAUGCCUAAACUUAACCCUAAAGGUUAUUGCACCCUAGAAGUAAAACUUUUGAGGAGUUAAUGUCACGGUGGCAGAUAGCCUAGCAGUUUAGAGCAUUAGGCCAGUAACCGAAAGGUGGCUGAUUCGGAUUCCUCAGCCGACAAGUGGAAAUAUCUGUUGAUGUGCCCUUGAACAAGGCACUUAACCUCUAUUGCUCCUACAAGUCGCUCUGGAUAAGAACGUCUGCUAUAUGAUUAAAAAGUCAAACAUAAAUAAUGUUCACGAGUGAAUGGUGACUGAAUGAUAGCUGACAGGAUGUGUUGAGAGGUCGUUAUUGGUUCAAGAUGGGGUUCGUAUUUGGCUGUUUAGAAGGUUGAAAUGGGUGAUCAUAAUUGCAUUGCAUUUUCGAGGAGACUCCAUUUACAGAUACAGUAUGUGAUCUUCCUCUGACAUUCUGUUUGUCUCACUGGGUCCCAUGUUUUUCUUUGCCCUUAGUUUACAGUUGGCACCUCUCCUCUUCGUAUAUUUCCCCCAAAAAUGUACAUCCCCGUUCCCCACCAUAAAAUACCUUGUCUCUCUCUCUUAUACACACACAUAUACAGGGAUGCACAUGCAAACACAUUUUGAGACCCUGUGACUUAGUUGUGCGAGUUACAUUUUUAAUUGGUUGCACUGGUGCGAGUUACACAUUCUACCUGGUCACCUCAAUUAAAAACUCCUAUUGUUUGGGUGGAUAAAACCAUGAAUUUGUUAACCUCUCUGGGAUAUUCGGGACGAUAGCGUCCCACCUCAACAACAGCCAGUGAAAGUGCAGGGCGCCAAAUUCAAAACAACAGGAAUCUCAUAAUUAAAAUUCCUCAAGCAUACAAGUAUUUUACACCAUUUUAAAGAUAAACUUCUAGUUAAUCCAGCCACAGUGUCCGAUUUCAAAAAGGCUUUAAAGCAAAAGCACACCAAACGAUUAUGUUAGUUAAGCACCUAGUCACAGAAAAACACAGUCCUUUUCCAGCCAAAGUGUGGAGUCACAAAAAGCAGAAAUAGAGAUAAAAUGAAUCACUAACCUUUGAUGAUCUUCAUCAGAUAACACUCAUAGGACUUCAUGUUACAUAAUACAUGUGUGUUUUGUUCGAUAAAGUUCAUAUUUAUAUCCAAAAAUCGGAGUUUACAUUGGCGUGUUAUGUUCAGUAGUUCCAAAACAUCCGGUGAUUUUGAGAGAGCCACAUCAAUUUACAGAAAUACUCAUCAUAAAUGUUGAUGAAAAUACAAGUGUUAUACAUGGAACUGUAGAUAAACUUAUCCUUAAUGCAACCACUGUGUCAGAUUUCAAAAAAGCUUUACCGAAAAAGCACACCAUUCAAUAAUCUGAGUACAGCGCUCAGACAACAAAACAGCCUGACAGAUAUUCGUCAUGUUGUGC
ensembl:lncRNA